GGGAAUGUAGCUUAAUGGUAGAGUACUUGCCUAGCAUGCAUGAAGCCCUCGGUUCAAUUCCUCAGUACCA
rnacentral:tRNA from 1 species